GGAUAUCAGGCUGAGAUAUCUGUUGCCCCACUCAUCACCAGGGUGGAGUUCUUUUCCUUCCUCACUGUUCCAUGCCUCCCCCUGAAGCUGUAUGCUCAGUCUGAGACAGCCUUCCCAGAAGAUCAAGGGUAUAUGAGUGCCUCCUCCCCUGCUAGGACCUCCAAACAAGCUCUCUGAUUUCUGGGUUAGGGAUCUUACGUCAGUAGCUCUAUGCAGAUAUCCAAGUCAGAAAGAUUCUGG
rnacentral:snRNA from 1 species